UUGAAGGUACAAGGUGAAUUUGAAGGCGAAUUCCUCCUUCGAAAAGCUUGGAAACUAUAUGAGAGAGACACACACAUCGAGUUGGUGGAUGAUACCUUGAACCCUAAUGAUUAUAAUGCAGAAGAAGUGAAGAAAAUCAUAGAGAUUGGUCUGCUAUGCACCCAAGCAUCUGCAGAAUUAAGGCCAUCAAUGUCUGAAGUCAUUGUUCUGCUUCAAGGCAAGGGCUUAUUAGAGAAUAUGAGACCCACCAUGCCAAUCUUGAUUGAAACUUAAUACUAGAGGUCCUGUACCACAUCUCUACACUAAUUCCUCUAUGUCAACCGUCAUGGCCUUCGCUAUUUUAUUAUCGGCAAACUAAUGUAUAUUUUUCAUUUAAAGAGUAAGAGUAUUGUUGGAGACAUUCUUCUGGUUCUUAAUAUAAGACCUAAUUAAUUAAGUUAAGUAGAUUAA